CCCACCCCCUUACCUCACAUAGAGUAAGGAAAAAUAGCUUUCAAUGGACUGCUGGGGACAGGAUUGGGUGAAGUGAGGAAUGUCUUCUGAGUAAAGAGUAGGGAGUGGAGUGGCCCAAACAUUCUACUCUUCUUCAGCUCUGCCCUCUGUGAGACCCCCACUUUAGCCUCUGGCCAAGUGGAACAAGUCUAAAUCAUGUCAAACAGCUGACAUCUCCAUUCUAAACUUUCUCUUCUUCAAGUACUGUCUAGUUCUUUGUGAAGAAUGGGACUUUUGGGGCAAAGAUACAGGUAUGUUUUGCCAUUCCCUUUUCUAGCACUAAGGCAAAGAAAGUUAAAUGACUUUCCUAGGAUCACAUAGCUAGUAAGUAUCUGAGAUCAGAUUUGAUCUCAUAAAGACGAGGGUUCCUGACUCCAGGCUUAGCACUCUAUCUACUUUACCACCUUGCUGCCAUCAUUAGGUUGAAUUUGUACAUAUGAAAUUUCAGGUGAUGUUAGAGAAUACACCAAUAAUGCAACCUACCAGUAAAAUUUCCAUGGUCUCCACUACAUUCAAAAAGUAGGAAUAGUAAUAAUAAUAGUAAUGUUUAUAUAUUAUUUGAAGGUUGGUAAAACAUUUUACAAAUAUUAUCUCAUUUUAUCCUUAUGAUUCUUAUUAUCUCCAUUUUAUGAAUGACACAAAUAAAGGAUAAUUGAUAUUCAAGAUCAUAAAUCUGAUAAAUGUCUGAAGUCAAAUAACUCAGAUCUCCAAGAUUCCAGGUUCAUAUUCAAUGUACUGUUAUCUAGCUGCCGAAGAAAAAAUAUAGAUUAAGAUACUUCCUUCAGAGUAAGAAUUUUAAGUCAUUAGGAUUCAUUAGAAGCUAAGAAGGUCAUUCCUUUGCAUCAUUAAAAACUGAUAUUUUAAGUGGAAAAAAUGAAGCCAUAUAGCCUUAGUUAUCAGUAUAGCAGCAUCAUGUUGAGAAAUGGGUUCCACAUAGAAAGUUUUGCAUUUCUGUUCUGUCUCUUAUGAGUAAAUGAAUUAGU